GCGAUGAGGCUGGCGCCAACUGCCUGCUCUGCGGCGCGGGAAGCGGCGCGGGAGCGCGGCAUCGAGGGGCAGGCCUAGCUGGGGCCCGUAGCCCUCCGUCUUCUGGCUGGUACGCAGGUCCUGCGCACGCUGCGUGGCCGCAGCCGCCGGGCAGUGGGCGCCGGAGGGACCGGGAGGCGAGCCGGGGUCCCCAGGCGGGUGUGGGCAUCGUGCCCGCAGCCAGCGUCCCCCGAGGCCGCGCUGGGGCCAUGAUCCACUCGGUGAAGCUGCGCCGCGAUAGCGCGGCCGACUUCGUCUCGCACUAUGAGUACCUGUGCGCGCUGCAGGACUCGGUGCCUCUGCCCGCCGUGCGCGCUUCUCUGCGGGGGGGCGUGCUGGACUUCAACGCCGACCGCCUCCGCGGGCUGGACUGGGCGCCGCUUCUGAGCACCCUCAAGAUUAAUAAAGAUCUGCCCCUGAUCUGUAUCAGGAGCUUCUUCCAGCCAUGGCUUGGCGAGACAGGUUCUGACAGAAAUAAAGUUUACAGAAGUCGUGUUCCUGCGAUAAGAAAUAAAGAUGUGACCUUCCAGUUGUGUAAAGCUCUUAAAUGCUGUGUGAGUGCGUCGGGUGCGCUAAGGAACCUGGAGCUAAAUGGGCUAGUUCUGAGAGAGAGAGACUUAACUAUGUUAACAAAGGGAUUGAAUAAAUCGGCCACUUUGGUGCACCUGUGUCUUGCGAAUUGUCCAAUUGGAGAUGGAGGUUUAGAAAUUAUUUGUCAAGGUAUAAAGAACUCUAUCACUCUUAAGACAGUAAACUUCACGGGGUGUAAUCUGACAUGGCAGGGAGCAGAUCACAUGGCCAAGAUCUUAAAGUAUCAGACUAUCAGAAGGCAUGAAGAAACCUGGGCUGAGAGUCUUCGUUACAGGAGACCUGAUCUUGACUGUAUGGCUGGUUUGAGGCGCAUCACUCUGAACUGCAACACGCUUAUUGGUGACCUGGGUGCAAGUGCUUUUGCAGAAUCUCUUAGUGAGGAUUUAUGGCUUAGAGCACUUGACCUGCAGCAGUGUGGCCUCACCAGUGAAGGAGCAAAGGCUUUACUAAAGGCCCUUGAAACCAACAGAACUCUGGUCGUUUUGGAUAUAAGAAAAAACCCACUUGUCGAUCAUUCUGUGAUGAAAUCAGUUAUCAAAAAAGUUCUCCAGAAUGGAAGGAGUGCCAAGUCAGAGUACCAGUGGAUAACUUCUCCAUCUGUGAAGGAACCAUCCAAAGCUGCUAGACAGAAAAAGAGAACUAUAAUUUUGGGAAGUGGUCGAAAAGGAAAAGCUACUAUUAGAAUUGUUAUUUGGAGACAUAGAGGCUUGGCCACAAAGAAACCUGUAAGUAAUGGAAGGAAACACUCUGCUGGUAAAGAAUGUUAUGCUCCUGAACCUCUACCACCUGGUGUGUCUGGUUUCCUGCCAUGGCGUACUGCAGAACGUGCAAAAAGGAACAGGGGUUUUCCAUGCAUCAAAGCUCGUGAUGUAUGUAAUCGGUUGCAGCAGUCAGAAUUUCCUGUGACUGUGACAGUAGAGAGUCCUUCCUCCUCAGAAAUCGAAGAGGUCGAUGAUUCCUCAGAAAGUAUUCAGGAAGAGCCAGAGAAAAUCAGUUUGAAACAAGAAGCAUUGCAGGAAAAACUGGAGGAGUGCCUAAAGCAGUUAAAGGAGGAAAGAGUAAUAAGACUUAAGGCUGAUAAACGAGUCAGUGAGCUGGAACAUGAAAACGCCCAGUUAAGAAAUAUAAAUUUCUCUUUGUCUGAAGCCCUUCAUGCCCACUCAUUGACAAGCAAGAUCCUGGAUGAUGAAGGUGUUUUGGGCAGCAUUGAGAAUUCUUUUCAGAAGUUCCACGCUUUCUUGGAUCUCCUUAAAGAUGCCGGGCUUGGGCAGCUGGCCACAAUGGCUGGUAUAGAUCAGUCAGAUUUUCAUUUACUAGGUCGUCCCCAGAUGAAUUCUACUGUUAGUAGUCCACCUAAAGAAGAAAAGAAGGCACUUGAAGAAGAAAAAUCAGAAUCAAAACAGGGUGCCCCAGGACAAAUGCAAAAUAUCCAAUUUCAGAAAAUUACAGGUGAUACUAGGAUUCCUUUGUCUCUCGACUCCUUCCAGGUCCCAGUCUCUACUCAGGAGGCCUUAGAAACUUCCAAAGAUAACCUGGGGUUCCCAGUCACAGAGCAGCGGCAGGAGUCUUUUGAAGAUUUCAUUGCUAGAACAUGUCCUCCUUCAGCAGAUGUCAUUUCUGGAACUGGAAGUCAAAGAAAAGAAGAGGAGUUAUCUAGAAAUAGCAGGUCUUCUUCAGAGAAAAUGACCAAAGCAGAGUCCCAUUGAAAUGACUGGAGAAAUAUUAAAACAAAAAUAAAUUAAUAGCAGAGUUGGAAAACCAGAAAAUGAACAAUGUGGACUUCCUAGAAGAUAAAGAGCAGAUUAUUGAAAGAUGAGUUAAUUGAAGAGUGGAACAGCUAAGCCAUUCCAAUCACCUCUUUGUGGAGUACCUAAUUAUGGAGUUUGCCACCAGGCUCAGGCUAAGAAAGCAGCUCUCUGAAGUGGGGGUCCUGACACAGGAAACACUGGGAUUGGAGAACAAGGGCAUUAUCCAAAAUGACUCCAAGCAGGAACUGAAGAUAAGCUGCCACACUUCUGGUUACGGUGACCUGCCGCUCCCUUUAUAAUCACCAGAGUGCCCAUAAUCAGAAUUUGUAUUCAUUGAAAGUGACCCAGAAUUCUCAUUUGGCUGAGGAAAAGCACUUCAAACCUUAGUCUUAGGCCCUCAUCUAUAAAUAUGCCAAGAAUCAUCAAAUUUGAAGAAAACCACUAACAUAAAAGGAGACACCAAAUUAAAACAAAGUAACCUGUUCAAGAAAGUAGUUACUAGAAGAAACAGAAGAAGUUUAAAAAUUAGUACAAUUAGGAUCUUCAGAGAGUCAUGAGGAUGUUGCAUCCAUAAAGAAUAGGAUGCUAGGAAAAAGAUAUUUAGUCGUUGGAAAUUAAAAAUACGAUUGUGAAAACAGAACAUUCAGAAGACGGACUAGAUAGCAGAAUAGAUUCAGUUGAAGCUUGAAUUCAUGAAAUGGAAGAUCUGAUUGAGAGAUCCCCUUAAUAUGCAUUGCAAAGGGAUGAAAGAUAAAAGUUAUGAAAAAGAAAGACUCCUAGAAGAACACGGGAGUUGGCAUACAGUAAGUGCACAAAUAUUUGUUGUAUAAGAUAGUGCAGAUAUCAGUAUGAGCAAUGAAUCCAUGGAAGAUUUUAAAUCAAAGGAACUGAUGAUGCCAUGUGAUCUGUGUUUCCCCUUUAUAAUCACCAUGGAUGCCUAUAAUAAGGAAAAAUCUAAGUAAAUAUUAUGCAUAUAUAAAAAUGAAGUGAGCUAAAAUUCUAGGCUUUAACAUGAAUGGAGGCAGGAUAUAGAAAGUGGAACAGUGUUCAGGAUCUUGUCUUAUUCAAGGCAAGAAUAUAGUGUUUACCUCUAGGUGUUGAUAGAAAAAUAUAUUUAAGUAUAUUUGAAGUGAAAGGCAUAUCAGUAAGGAUAGGUUAUGUGACGAUACUUCAGCCUCAAGCCUGAAAUCUUAGUGACUUAAAGCAACAUUGGUUUAUUUGUGCUCAUUCUGUAUGCGUUUGGCAGAUUGGCUAGAAGCCCUACUCCAUGUCCCCCUCAACCUGGGAGCCAGCUGACAAAGCAUCACUAUUUGGAACAUUGCUUGUUACAAUACCCAAGCAAAAAUAGAUUGUGAUGCAACAUACCCUGACUUAAAGCUUCUGCCUAGAUGAACGCAUGUCACUUCUCACAUUUCAUUGGCCAAAGAAAAUCACAUGGCCACGGCUGAAUUCAACUGAGCAGGGAAAUGCAGACUUACUGUGUGCCAAGACAAGGAGAGAGAGAAGCAAAUAUAUGUCAACAACUUUAAUAGCCCCCAAACCACCAGGAAAGGGGGGAUGGAAUUUAAAAGUCCAAGAAAAGGCAGGAAAGAAGAAAGAAACAAGAUAAAUAGGAACACACACACACACAUACAGACGGUAGCAAGACCAAAUGCUUUUCUCACAAUAAAUGUAAAUUAAAUUCUGGAAUUCCUUAAGCUUGAGUAAAAAAAACAAUCCAACUAUGUGCUAUUUGCAAAAAAAAAAAUCUAAAAGACUUUCAUGGAUUAUAAAGAAGUAAACGAGCAUACCAGGCAGAUGCUAACAAAAGUGUAUGUGACUAUGUUAACCUCAGAAUAAACAAUAAAUAGGACUCAAGAUGAAAACCAUUAAGUGGGAGAAAAUAAAAGCAUUUCGGCUGAUAAAAAGUAUAGUUUUGCAGAAAGAUUAUUUGAAAUCGGAUCUGCAAUCUAAAAACUCAGUUUCAAAAUGUAUAGAGCAAAAACAGAAAUACAAGGAAAAGUGAGCAAACCAAUUAUGAGAGAGACUUUAACACAUCCCUCUUCCAAAUCAGUGGAUCUACUGCUACUCACUAAAUAAGAAAAUACUGACAGAACCAAGGGCUGGUGAGGAUGCGAAGUAACUGAAAUUCUGGUGGAAACACAAAAUGAUGUAGUCCCUCAAAACAGAUUGGCAGUGUCUUUAAACAUAAAUACACCAGCAGUUUCACAAGUUACGUGAAAACUUACGUUCAUGUAAAAACAUGUAUGUGGUGUUUAUAGCAGCUCUAUUCAUAAUCAUCAAAAAGUCUUCCUAAAGGUGGAUGGAUAAACAAAUGAUGGUGUGUCCACACAAUGGAAUACUACUCGGCAAUAAAAAAGAAUAAAUUAUUAAUACAUAUGUCAACUUGGAUGAAUCGCAAAGUCAUAUGCUAAGUGAAAGAAGCCAAAAGGUUACAUCUUGAUGUAAUCUCAAAAGGAUGAAGGAGUGGCUUAUUCUGGCUGGUGAGAUCAGCAAAGGGGUGGUUACACAAGCAUGGCCCCUCCCUCUGGCUCUCUUGCGGACCCUGCCUGUCCCCAGGCAGCAUGCAGCAUUUCUGUGCAGUAAACCCACCAGGCCUUCUCUGCCUCUGUCGUAAGGUGGACAGAGCAGGCCUGCCAUUGCCGGUAAGUCAAUUCCACUUGGUGGGGGAAGAGGAAUGGGAAGACUGGCCUGGACUUGGCUUUCAGUCCUCGUCUCCAGUCCUCCUUGAAAAGUAUUGGUACUGCUAUUUUGAUCCUUAUUGGAGUCUAUUUGGCUUCUGUGAACAGAUUUCAGUUGGGUUCCAAACUUUGGAGGGGAAAAGGGUAGAAUUAAUUAGUGCCCUAAAAACUCAACACAGGCUGUCUUCCUACACAUGUCAAGAAACAUGACAAUUGAGAGUCUCACCUCCAUAGCUUCUGUCAUGGGAAGAGACUGACUUCCUUAGUUCCAGUUAAAGAUCCUGGGGAAACCAAAUCACACCCAUUAGGAUGGCUACUAUAAAACAAAGAACAAAAAAUGAAAGUAACAGUCAUUGGCAAGGAUGUGGAGAAAUUAGAAUCCUUGUGCACUAUUGGUGGGAAUGUAAAAUGCGGUAGGCGCUAUGGAAAAUAGCAUGACGGUUCCUCAAAAAACUUAAAAAUAGAAUUACCAUAUGAUCCAGCAAUUCCACUUCUGGGUACGUACCCAAAAGAAUUGAAAGCAGGGUCUCAAGGAGGUAUCUGUACACCCAUAUUCAUAGCAGCAUUAUUCACAAUGGCCAAAAGGUGGAAGCAACCCAAGUGUCUCUUGACUGAUGAAUGGGUAGACAAAAUGUGGUAUGUACAUACGAUGGAAUAUUCUUCAGCCUUCAAGAGAAAGGAAGUUCUGACAUAAGCUACAACAUAUGCUAAAGAAGGGAGUCUGAAAAGGAACCUUGAGGACACUAUGCUAAGUGAAAUAGCCACAAAAAGACAAAUACUGUAUUAUUGUGCUUAUAUGAAGCACCUGGAGUAGUCAUAGUCAGAAACAGAAAGCAGAAAGGUGGCUGCCAGGGGCUGGAGGAAGGGAGGACUGGGGUGUUGUUUAGUGGGUGUGGAAUUUCAGCUCUGUGGGCUGAGGAGAGUUCUGGAGAUUGCACAACAACGUGCAUGUACUUAACAUUAUUGAUCUGUACAUUUAAAAAUGGUUAAGAUGGUAAAGUUUUUGUUAUAUGUAUCUCACCUUAAAAUCCUGGAAGAGAUUUCUGAUGAACGCCCCUUGGAUCUGGGGAUAACUCGUACACAGCAAUCAAUUGUGGCCAACGGCAGAGUCAGCUCAGAACAUCUGAGCCUCCCCUCACAUGGAGGGAAGAGUCUGUUACUCUUGGCCUUCUUAUUUUAAACUAGUGAGCCAUUGGAAAGCUCUGGAAUCCUGUGACUGACAAAUAUCUGUGGCACAGAAGUUCAUACGUGGAACUGAAGAGUCUUUGAGAUUUUGGCAGAACAAACAAUUCUGUAGUUUUUUAAACCAGUCAAAAGGAAAGGGUGAAAUUUCUCUUCUUUUUGAGAAGAAUGGAGAAGAAUAAAACUAAUAAAUCUCAGAAGUUCAAUCUGAAAUGACAGGACAGGGAGUGCAGGAAAGACAGAUUUUUUUGCCGAAGCUUUGGGAUAAAUAAAAUGUCCUUGCCUGUGAUAAAUAUUUUCUAAUGAUAUAUGGUCUUCUGAGUUUAGCCAUUUAAGUUCAUGUGCAAUUUGCAGCAAUAAGGACUUGGUGAUUUAAAAAUAAAAACGUCUUUCUUUUGGAAUAUGACUUAGAACUUUGGUUCAGAAUAUAAUGUUAUUUAUUGAUUUUCUGUUGAAACGUGGAUUUCUGCUGGGCUAGUAUCUCACUCUAAGGAGUCUGCCUACACGGUGAUGAACCGGAAUGUCUGGAGGACCGGGCACAUCAGCAGAACAUGUCAGGAUUCUGGUCACUGACACGAGUUGGGGUGAGGUCACCAGGCCCAGCUGUGCAAAGGAGGGGAAGCUGAGGAGGAAAUGUCAUGUUUGCCUUCCCAGCCCUCAGCCUUUUUUCUACCAAGAGCAUCCCCUUUUGGGGUUGAACCAGGCCCCUCUCACUUCAGUAUUGUGAUUCAGUGGAUGCUGCCAAUCCUAUUGCUCUGCACCCCUGAGUGCAGGAGUGGGCGUGAGACCCAAGCGCCCUGUAGUCCUUCCACGAUGAUUUUCACAGCAGAAGCAAAGGAAGAGAGUCCCAGCACGUGGGUUUCUUGUCUAGGUUGUCCCUGAAGCAAAGCCUUACGCUUCCACCUGCCCUGAGGUUCCAGGUUCAACAAAUGGAUUCAUUUCCCUUCUGAUGGUUGGAGUGGGAUUUGUGUCGAUUGCAAUUAGAAGAGUCCAGGGACGUAGCUAAGUGAAUUGAGCACAGGCCACCCAGCAUUCCUCUGAAUAUGGACUAGCGACAGGAUUAGGCUACUGCCUUCCCUCCAUAAGGAAAUGAGGAGUAGCAGGAAAUGGUCCCUUGAACAGUGGUCUAAGAGCAAAGGAGAGCAUUCUGGUUUCUGCCUCUGCCAUUAAUGUGCUGUGUGAUCUGGGAUGAGUUACUUUCUAGUCUGCUAUAAGAUGGGGGACUAGACACCACCAUCUGAAGGGCACUUUCAGCCCUUAUAGUCUUUCAAAUACCUAACCCUCAAUUUGAUCCAUGCUAUAGAGGUAGGAGAUAGGUAGGAGAGAGAGAAGCACCAGGCUGAGCAACUGCAGCUGGUCUCCUAACGCUUUGAGAUGGGAGUGGGAGCACGGGGCCCUGAUGGGGUGCAUUUCUGUGGAUUUCCCGGCCUGACACGUGUGAAGAGAAGGCCCUCAGUCUACAGGAAGGACAAAAAGGAGGGAGAAGACGCCAGCUGGAAUCCACCUUGGCUGAGAGAUGUGCGUGCACACCAGUACCAAAUGUGGAGAUGAUUGGCCAGAGACAACCUAGAAAACUGCCCCUAUAUAAGCAACCUAAGCUGCCCCUAUGGUGUAUAACUCACUCUGA